CACGGAGUUAGCCGGUGCUUCUUCUGCGGGUAACGUCAAUUGCUGUGGUUAUUAACCACAACACCUUCCUCCCCACUGAAAGUACUUUACAACCCGAAGGCCUUCUUCAUACACGCGGCAUGGCUGCAUCAGGCUUGCGCCCAUUGUGCAAUAUUCCCCA
rnacentral:rRNA from 1 species